CCCCCCCCCACCACACCCGGAUUAAGAUGCUUGUAUAUUUGAAAUGUUUUCACGCAUAGAUAGAUAGAUAUUUCUACUAUCAGUAGGACAUUAUUAAUAUUUAUAUGUAUAUAAGGUUUCUGAUUUUGUUUUUCUAUUUUGUAGGCUGUCGUGUACUACGCAGCGGUGUUGCCGAUAUCAUGACAUCGGGACUCAAUAUUUUGUUUUAAUAAAAUUUAACAGUAAGCUGCACAUGCUGGCGAGCUAUUCCUAUGUAACAAGUGUUUGUUUUUAUUUUAUAAAUACUUUAUAUGCGUUUGAGGUGACGAAUUAGAAUAUAAUUAUUAACGUAUACAAUGUA
rnacentral:lncRNA from 1 species